rnacentral:lncRNA from 1 species
UACUAGGUGCUCAGCUGAGAUUACCUUCAAAACAGACCCUCAGAAUUCAGACUACACGGUAGAAUCUGGGGCUAGUCGUAAUUUUGAACCUUGGCGUGAAGAGGAUGAGGUGAGUGAUAUAGGGCAAAUUCUGAGCGCAGCUUUUAUCUUUUGACCAGCUUGAGCUUCCAUUUAAUCAUAGUGAUUUAUUUUCAAUUGUUCAGGUUGUGGAUAAAGAGAAGAGGAAGCGAGAAGCGGAGGAGAUGGGUGAUGCAAUGAGAGCACUGGAGAACAGAGCAAUGGAUUCAAAGCAAGACAUGGACAUACUUGCUGCUUUAGAAGAGAUGCGGUCGAUGAAGGUAUGAUCUGGGCAUCUUGCCAAUCUCUUAAGUUCAGUUAACCUGUACUUGUACAUGCACAUGAAAUUUUGACUUUACUGACUACUGACAUCGUUUUAUUGUGCUGCUUACAGUCUAGACAUGCUGGAGUCUCCGUUGACCAGAUGCUUGAAAUUUUGAAGCAUUCCGCUCAUCAAAAGGCAAGAUCUCACAAACUUUGUUUUCUGUAUAAUUGAUAAAAGUUUCACGUGUAGCGUUUCACAUUUGGGUAAUAUGUAGGUUAUUUUGCUUAUGGCAUGGUGGUCCUGUGGCAUCAUUUUCUUAAAAUCUUUUCUUUAAUAUUGGCCAUUUUGUGUGUGGUUACAGGAGGGAAAAACAGUAGCAGAAUUAGAUGAAGAAGACGAAGAACUCAUCAAAUCAAUCACUUUCAGAGUAAUCCUCUAUGUCAACUUUCAUAUGUACCUGCAUGUGCAAACUUGUAUUUGAAUUUUUUUCUUACCCUGUCAUACUGUUGGUUAUUGCAGAACUCGAAAGAUUAUGUUAAACGGAUCGAAGACGAUGAUGACGACGAUGAUGACAAUUUUGGUAUACCAGGACAGUCAAGUGUCACGUCAAAGGUACUUGUCUCACUUUUUUUUUUCUUCCUUUUCUUUUCUGUUUCUAUUUCAUAUUGUAUGUUCUGUGGCCUUAAGUAUCGAUUGUUGAAAGAUCACUGUAGACCAUUAGCUUGAAUUUAAUUUGUUAUUUCGAAACUAGCUGACCUGAUAAAGCAGCCAUCAGGUACAACAUCAAAACAUGCCAUUUAUCAUUUGUGCGCACUUAUUCUAUUUGAAACAGUUUGAGAUUCCUCUUCUUGAUAAGUAAGCUGUAAAUAUGCUGCUUUUAUAUAGAUUUGUUCAAAGUGUAAGCUAGCUAAUGACUGAAUUUGAAAUUACCAAAAUUAUCGUCUUCUGUGAAGUGUUUGUUGUAGUUUCUCUAGGAUGCUUUCAGUUUGCAUUAGAUAUAGCAACAGUUGAGAUUAACGGAGGAAGACAUUUCGAGCUCAAAUCCUUUUACAAGAGUAAAUGCUGGUCAUUGAGCAACGUGUAGUAUAGAACUUAUAUCAAACAUUGUCAUAAAUCUAAUGGUGUUAUGGUCUUCUGGAGUAGCCCUCAUCGAGUCAUUGUAGCAAUUUCUAUGGAAGAUAUUAUGCAGUUUUUCUAUGUGGAGGAUAUUACUUCUCUCCUUGCCAUGAGUAUGUUCAUGUAUUUGCAGUUUUCAGUUCGACGUCUCUUGAACUCGUUUGUUUAGUGAGCUGAUAGUUCCUACUUUUUAUGUAGAUUAAUGAAUCUUCUGAAUCAAUGACGAACCCAACAGAUGUCUUGACCAAAGCUAAUGGACCUGAGAGUGCCAACAAAGAAGGUAGACACUCAUAUGCGUUCACCUUGUUUUUUCACUGUAUCACUAAUAUUGUUAAGGGCACAUGCAGAAUCCGAGAAUUCCAUAUUUUAGAACUUGCUAUUUCAAUGCUUAUGCGCUGACCUUGAUCCUGUUUCACGUAUCACGCAGCCUAUUUUGGCCAUCGCUAUAUUUUAUCAUGGAUUACCAAUGUCAACCUUGUUUUAUGUCGCUAUUUGCCUCUAUUUUUACUUGUGCUAUUUUCUUUUUAUGUGAUCAAACAGUGUUUCAUUUUGAAAACAAAUGUGUUGCUUACAUUUAAACAUUGCUCUACAGGAAACAAGAGCUUGGCAUCUAAGAUGCCCAAAUUCAUAGUAAAACCAAAGCCCGCUGGUGCAAAUCCUCAGAAGAAACAGAAGACGGAAACUGAUGCCGUCCAAGAUAACGGCAAAGCACCGGCUGCUGAGAACAAAAAUGAAGCUUCAGUAGAGAAGACCAAUGUUCUUCAGUCCCUCUGCCAGUAUGAUGAUAGCGAUGAAAGUGAUGACUGAAGACAAGGCAAACCCCUGGAACACGGAUGUGUUAGUUUUUUUCGAGAAAACGCAAGAGAGCUNNNNNNNNNNACUCUGAACGCUAGUAAUGGACUAACACGGAUGUGUUGGUCUAAGUCUGUAAAUUGUCUUCUCUCGCAAAAUCUCUGCUGCCAACUGUAAGUCCGCCGUGUUGAAACCUAUGGCAACUACAGUAAUAGUUUAGACUCCAGAUAGAGUUGUGUUUGGGAUAAAUUUGUAACAUUAACAAAUUCAGAUUUUGUUUCAAAAUUGAUUUUUUUAUUAUUUUUUUUGAAAUUGAGAUUAUGGAUGCAUCACUACCAUCUCUAUUAAUG